UCCAGACUCCUACGGGAGGCAGCAGUGGGGAAUAUUGCACAAUGGGCGAAAGCCUGAUGCAGCAACGCCGCGUGAAGGAAGAAGGUCUUCGGAUCGUAAACUUCUGUCCUUGGGGAAGAUAAUGACGGUACCCUUGGAGGAAGCCCCGGCUAACUACGUGCCAGCAGCCGCGGUAAUACGUAGGGUGCGAGCGUUAAUCGGAAUUACUGGGCGUAAAGGGUGUGCAGGCGGCUGAGUAAGACAGAUGUGAAAUCCCCGGGCUUAACCUGGGAACCGCAUAUGUGACUGCUUGGCUAGAGUGCGUCAGAGGGAGGUGGAAUUCCACGUGUAGCAGUGAAAUGCGUAGAUAUGUGGAAGAACACCGAUGGCGAAGGCAGCCUCCUGGGACGCAACUGACGCUCAUACACGAAAGCGUGGGGAGCAAACAGGAUUAGAUACCCGAGUAC
rnacentral:rRNA from 1 species